rnacentral:rRNA from 1 species
UAGGGAAUCUUCGGCAAUGGACGGAAGUCUGACCGAGCAACGCCGCGUGAGUGAAGAAGGUUUUCGGAUCGUAAAGCUCUGUUGUAAGAGAAGAACGAGUGUGAGAGUGGAAAGUUCACACUGUGACGGUAUCUUACCAGAAAGGGACGGCUAACUACGUGCCAGCAGCCGCGGUAAUACGUAGGUCCCGAGCGUUGUCCGGAUUUAUUGGGCGUAAAGCGAGCGCAGGCGGUUAGAUAAGUCCGAAGUUAAAGGCUGUGGCUUAACCAUAGUACGCUUUGGAAACUGUUUAACUUGAGUGCAAGAGGGGAGAGUGGAAUUCCAUGUGUAGCGGUGAAAUGCGUAGAUAUAUGGAGGAACACCGGUGGCGAAAGCGGCUCUCUGGCUUGUAACUGACGCUGAGGCUUGAAAGCGUGGGGAGCAAACAGGAUUAGAUACCCUGGUAGUCCACGCCGUAAACGAUGAGUGCUAGGUGUUAGACCCUUUCCGGGGUUUAGUGCCGCAGCUAACGCAUUAAGCACUCCGCCUGGGGAGUACGACCGCAAGGUUG